CCAACUCCAGGAGCCUUGCUAUAUGGUGGAGUUGUGGAUUUUAAUUCCUAAAUCUGCCUUUUGGUGCUUUUCAUAGUAGCAUUUUUUUUCCUCCGAUCAGGGCUGAGAGAGCAGACAGAGUGGGAUUUUUUUGGUGAUAAAUGGUGGCCUGGUGGCUGGGGGUGUGCCUGUCUCUCACAGAUUGUCUGUGGGAGUGUGCUGGGGUGCUCAGCUUCAUCUGUGCCCUGCCAGGAGGGCGGAAGGUGAGCAGGGGAAGUCUGGAAGCACACUGCUGGGAGUAUCCAGGCGUGGAGUGUGGUGUACGUGGAGCUGCUGGAGGCACACUGUCAAAUUUUGCAUUUUUCCUAACGCAGAACCUGCUGCUGGAAGCUCAUGGUAUUCACGUCAGGUCUGCUGAGAAGAUGAAAAUCAGUCAUUUUCCUGGAGCCACCACUCAAGGAUGGGUCCACAGUCCCUUUGGAUGUGCUUGGUGGGCUGAAAACAGCAACAGAGUGGCAGGUCAAGGUGAUGGGGAGUCCUUCCUGUGCCUUCCCACACAGCUGGCUGGUGACUCCCUUUUACUCAGAGCUGCAGCAGACUGGCAGAGGAGCUCUCAGGUGGUGUUAUCCAUAGGGAGCCUGCAAUCCCAACCUCGCCAGCUGCUGAACCUCUGGGGACAUCAGCAUUCCUUUCUGGGACAACCUGGGACCUACCUCACCCUAAGCAGAGACAGAUGAUCUCCAAGUGCUCCACGCCUUCCCAGAAGCUGCUGUGGGGAGUGAUUUCUAAUCCAAAGAGAAUUUCUUCCUCCCAGCAUCCCUCAGGGACAUUUUCCUUUGCCCCAAAAGGCUUCCUGCUGUGUUGAGUCAUGCUCGAAGCGGUGCUUGUUAAAUAAGUGCCGCUGAGCUCUGCUUUAAACAAACAAAGUUGAUUUACCAGGGCUGUAGGAUGGCCAGGUAGCUAAGGUGUUAUUUAAGAGUAUUGGCACUUGGAAGGCCGAGUGCUAAAAGCACUUCAUUUUUAUUUCAGCUCUUAAUUGAAAAUCAGCUGGUUUGUCUUGUUCUCCUCCCCUGCUCCCAUCCCCACGCCGGGAUAAGGGCUGUUAACACCACACAGCGUGUUUGUCAAAAAGUGGCACCAGCCCAGGCUUUCACUUGUGGUUUAUUAGUUUAAUUACCCAGGGUCUUGCAAAGACUUCUCGGCGAGGCAGAAAUGAGAGAAUCUAAUGUUUCUUGGGCUGGAUCCUUACAUCACGUGAAGCCACCUGGUGAAGGCACCGAGGUAAAAACGUGGCUCCUGUGAUUAACCUUGACUGAAUUCAAUAAUACCUCGGAGUCACAUUAUUGCUGACCUUGUGCUUUGCUACCUUCUCAUCUUUUUAAUUUGUCUUUUCUUCCUGCCUUUGCAAUAACAGGCAGAAGUGUUAAAAAAUAAAACCCUCCUGGCUGCCUUGUGGGAAAGAGCUCUUCUGCUUGCAAUGAUUUUUAAAUUUUCUUUUUUUACUUUUGGUAUGUUUCUUGCUAUUUGUGUUUUUCUGACAUUUGUGCACACAAACACUUGCAUGAGAAUAGCUGCUCAAGAGCUGUUUGGAGGUGUCCUUGUGAUUUUUUAAAAAAUGAAUUUGUGUGAUGGUGUGCUGAAUACUGCCAGCCAUCAAGAUAAUUCAGCAUUUGUUCACACUACAAGAAGUUCUUCCUAUGUGCCAUUUUAGGAGAUGGUCCUGACAUUUUUUGUAACAAAGGAAGGGUUGAAGCUGGGAUGUCCACAAAGACAAGUCCAGAUGCUUCCUGGGCUUCUUUAGAGUGAUUUGCUAUUCUUUUUGGGUGUUUUGGUGAU